AACGGAAAGGCCCUGCUUGCAGGGUACUCGAGUGGCGGACGGGUGAGUAACACGUGGGUGAUCUGCCCUGCACUUCGGGAUAAGCCUGGGAAACUGGGUCUAAUACCGGAUAGGAGCCAUCUUUAGUGUGAUGGUUGGAAAGUUUUUUCGGUGUAGGAUGAGCUCGCGGCCUAUCAGCUUGUUGGUGGGGUAAUGGCCUACCAAGGCGGCGACGGGUAGCCGGCCUGAGAGGGUGUACGGCCACAUUGGGACUGAGAUACGGCCCAGACUCCUACGGGAGGCAGCAGUGGGGAAUAUUGCACAAUGGGCGCAAGCCUGAUGCAGCGACGCCGCGUGGGGGAUGAAGGCCUUCGGGUUGUAAACUCCUUUCGCUAGGGACGAAGCUUUGUUGUGACGGUACCUAGAUAAGAAGCACCGGCUAACUACGUGCCAGCAGCCGCGGUAAUACGUAGGGUGCGAGCGUUGUCCGGAAUUACUGGGCGUAAAGGGCUCGUAGGUGGUUUGUCGCGUCGUCUGUGAAAUUCUGGGGCUUAACUCCGGGCGUGCAGGCGAUACGGGCAUAACUUGAGUGCUGUAGGGGUAACUGGAAUUCCUGGUGUAGCGGUGAAAUGCGCAGAUAUCAGGAGGAACACCGAUGGCGAAGGCAGGUUACUGGGCAGUUACUGACGCUGAGGAGCGAAAGCAUGGGUAGCGAACAGGAUUAGAUACCCUGGU
rnacentral:rRNA from 1 species